UGCUGAUUGACACACCUGCUUGACUCGACAAACGACGAGUAGAGACAAGAGACGUUACACAGAAAAAGUUGAAAAUAAACUAAUAAAAGGUGUAACUAACAAGAUGAAUCCAACCGGUUACACCUACCAAUGAAGAGGGAACCCCAAGAAAGGACGACAGAGAGACUGGAAAACGUUGUUUCCCCUCCAUCGAAAUGUGCUGGAAUUGUGCGGUCCAGAACGUUGGCUGCACGUCGCCGACAGGGGUUCCCGCGAGGUCACGAUCUGGCUGGAGGAUUUUGACGUGAACUCGCAUGGCUGCGGUAGUUGUGAACCCAAGAUGCAGGAAACAGGAGAUCGAUGCGCAGGUGAGAUAUAGCGCUCUCACUCUUAGACUCUACCUCACGAAGAAAAACUGGUUGCAUUUGGAAAGACCCUCCUAACCCCUUUCACCAUUCCUUUCACCUGCUCCCAUAAUGUAGCUACUUUAGAGCACUUAAGGCUCCAAAAAUAAACAUACUUGUUUGUUCAUUACCACUUGUUGAAAAAAAACCCACAGUGAAGUGUCAACUUUAAUGCUGGUACUGUAGUAACAUGGCAGCUGCUGUCAAUCAACCACACAUUUUAUUCACCAAGAAAGCCUGCACAAAAGGGAAAUGUGCCAUUUUUCCUUUUAUCCGCUGUGUAAGUCUCGCACAACUAUUACCUAAGUAUUUUUAAAACCUUGCUAAUGUUUUU